UAAUACGAAGGGGGCUAGCGUUGUUCGGAAUGACUGGGCGUAAAGGGCGCGUAGGCGGCGCAUUUAGUCAGGCGUGAAAGCCCUGGGCUCAACCUAGGAAUUGCGUUUGAUACUGGUGCGCUGGAGUGCGGGAGAGGAUGGUGGAAUUCCCAGUGUAGAGGUGAAAUUCGUAGAUAUUGGGAAGAACACCGGUGGCGAAGGCGGCCAUCUGGACCGUUACUGACGCUGAGGCGCGAAAGCGUGGGGAGCAAACAGG
rnacentral:rRNA from 1 species